rnacentral:rRNA from 1 species
UACAGAGGUCCCAAGCGUUGUUCGGAUUCACUGGGCGUAAAGGGUGCGUAGGCGGUCGGGCAAGUCUGAUGUGAAAUCUCACAGCUUAACUGUGAAACUGCAUUGGAUACUAUCCGGCUCGAGGAAUGGAGGGGAGACUGGAAUACUUGGUGUAGCAGUGAAAUGCGUAGAUAUCAAGUGGAACACCAGUGGCGAAGGCGAGUCUCUGGACAUUUCCUGACGCUGAGGCACGAAAGCGAGGGGAGCAAACGGG